UACGAAGGGGGCUAGCGUUGCUCGGAAUUACUGGGCGUAAAGGGCGCGUAGGCGGACAGUUUAGUCAGAGGUGAAAGCCCAGGGCUCAACCCUGGAAUUGCCUUUGAUACUGACUGUCUUGAGUACGGGAGAGGUGUGUGGAACUCCGAGUGUAGAGGUGAAAUUCGUAGAUAUUCGGAAGAACACCAGUGGCGAAGGCGACACACUGGCCCGUUACUGACGCUGAGGAGCGAAAGCGUGGGGAGCGAACAGG
rnacentral:rRNA from 1 species